UACGUAGGGGGCAAGCGUUGUCCGGAAUCAUUGGGCGUAAAGAGCGUGUAGGCGGCCAGAAAAGUCCGCUGUGAAAACUCGAGGCUCAACUUCGAGCUGUCGGUGGAAACUUUCUGGCUAGAGUCCGGAAGAGGAGAAUGGAAUUCCUGGUGUAGCGGUGAAAUGCGCAGAUAUCAGGAAGAACACCCGUGGCGAAGGCGGCACUCUGGGCCGGAACUGACGCUGAGGAGCGAAAGCGUGGGGAGCGAACAGG
rnacentral:rRNA from 1 species